GGCAGAGGGUGCAAACGUUGUUCGGAAUUACUGGGCGUAAAGCGCGUGUAGGCUGCUUGGAAAGUCGGAUGUGAAAGCCCUGGGCUCAACCUAGGAAGUGCAUUCGAAACUUCUGAGCUGGAGUGCUGGAGAGGAAGGCGGAAUUCUCGGUGUAGAGGUGAAAUUCGUAGAUAUCGAGAGGAACACCGGUGGCGAAGGCGGCCUUCUGGACAGUAACUGACGCUGAGACGCGAAAGCGUGGGGAGCAAACAGG
rnacentral:rRNA from 1 species